AGCAGCAGCCGCGGUAAUACGUAGGUGGCAAGCGUUGUCCGGAAUUAUUGGGCGUAAAGCGCGCGCAGGCGGAUCAGUCAGUCUGUCUUAAAAGUUCGGGGCUUAACCCCGUGAGGGGAUGGAAACUGCUGAUCUAGAGUAUCGGAGAGGAAAGUGGAAUUCCUAGUGUAGCGGUGAAAUGCGUAGAUAUUAGGAAGAACACCAGUGGCGAAGGCGACUUUCUGGACGAAAACUGACGCUGAGGCGCGAAAGCGUGGGGAGCAAACAGGAUUAGAUACCCCUGUAGUCCCUGUCUCUUAUACA
rnacentral:rRNA from 1 species